UGUACACACCGCCCGUCACACCAUGGAAGUUAGCCACGCCCGAAGCCGUUACUCCAACCCUUGUGGAGGAGGACGCCGAAGGUGGGGCUGAUGACUGGGGUGAAGUCGUAACAAGGUAGCCGUACCGGAAGGUGCGGCUGGAUCACCUCCUAACAGGGAGACAAAUCAGAUGUUGAUGUCUGAGCCAAAUUGAGCUUAGGCCAAUAUCCUGUCAUCUCGAAGGUCGAUCGGUGCCUCAAGGAUCAUGAUGAGUUGGGUGCUUGAACUGCAAAGUUCAAGGAUUCAAGCAAGCAAAGAUCUUUCAGUUUCUCAACUUCUGUCUAGGUCACCCCAAAGGUGCGCGAUGUGACAAGAGUAGUCCAGUUAUUGAUUAAUCAUUAUGAUUGAUGGAUGAUUGGGAUGGUUUUGUCACAUAGCGAAGCUGAGGAAGGACGCUCCUGGGCCAUUAGCUCAGGUGGUUAGAGCGCACCCCUGAUAAGGGUGAGGUCCCUGGUUCAAGUCCAGGAUGGCCCAUUCGUGUUUGGGGGUUUAGCUCAGUUGGUAGAGCGCCUGCUUUGCAAGCAGGAUGUCAGCGGUUCGAGUCCGCUAACCUCCAUCAACGUUUUUUUGAAGCAGACCUCUGGACCACAGGAGCGGAUCCUGUGGGACGAUCUGGACAUUGUACUGGUGAAGAAAAUGAUUUCAGCAUCUUUUCAUUCCUCUUGUUGAGGGGUUGAAAAGACGCUGAAUUCACCAGAUGUUCACAGGAGUGAACAGAUGGAGAUUCAGCAGAACCUUGACAACUGCAUAGGUGAGUCUGGAAAGAAAGCAUCUCAUGGAUGUCCAGGAGCGAAAGCAACUGGAAAAAAUUCUUGAGUUUAAGAGCCGAGCAUCUGUUAUCAGAAGUGUGAUGAGCACGGUGAGAACGGAUGAUCAAAUGGUCAAGCUACAAAGGGCUCACGGUGGAUACCUAGGCACACAGAGA
rnacentral:misc_RNA from 1 species